AUAUAGAUUGUGUUUUUUUUUCUAGAAAAAAAUUUAGGUUAUAAUUGUGUUUAAAACCUACUAAAAUUUGUUGAUGUUGUAUAUGAUAUUAUGAACUGAUUAAUAUUUAAUAAAAGUAAAGUUUUUUUUUCAAAUUUUGCUUUAAUUGGAAUUUCUAUUUAGUAUAAGUUUUAAAAUCAAAUAAAACUAUUAGAAAUCAUAUAGAGAUAUGACAAAAGAUUAUUGACAAAAAAUAGAAUUCACAAAAAAAAAAAUUAAACGGGCUAAACGGAUACUAUCAACAUAAAUGAGCUAACAUUAAACGAGUUUAAACGGGUAACAGGUCUAAACGGACUUGACAAUAAACGGGCCUAAAUGGGCAGGGUCAGACUCUGACCUUCUCCAUCACCGAAACGGUCCCUUUUACAGAUUCUUCAUGUUAAAUCCCUUAUUAAUUCAAUCUAACCACAUGUGUUCAAAAAAAAAAAAAAAAAAAUCAAUCUAACCACGACCUCCACCUACGUUUUGACAUGCUCCUCUUCGAUGGCAACCUCAGCCAAAACAGCAUGUAAUGUGAAGAAAGGUGGCGAGCUCAUGGACAGUGUCAUGCUUCAACCACUUUUGACUGGUUAACCGAAACGUUUUCCCCAAUUCCAGAAGAACACUUGCUUGGCCUAGCCAACACAAAUACCCAGCUUCCAGACAUUAUCGCUGAGACUGUGACCAUAGCUGAACUAAACGAGUUUAUCCUCAUUGCCCAGCGCCAGGCUGAGGUUGAAUUUGUCUGCACCGGGCACUGGAUUUAACAUGGACAAAGGCUGGUGCUAUG